CCGACUCAUCAAACCCCUGGGGUUCGAUCAAACCCAGGGGAACCCUCGCGUCCCGACGGGACAUUCUUCGCUGGCUACACGAUGGAUAUUCUGGAUGGAAGUGGAAGAUCGUGUGUCUGACGGCGCUGUCAGUCGAGGAUGUUAACGAUGUGUACAUUAUUGGAUUUAUGAUAACAGGUUUUCUGCUUAUUGGAGUUGGCGGCUACCUGGCUUAUUGGAAAUUUCGGAAGAUGCCGGCGGCCGUUUUGGCCACUUCAGGGCUGCCGGGUACGGUUGAUGGGAUCUGCAGAGCGAUCAACACUCAGACUGAGAUGAUACGGGAGCUGAGCCGCAGACUGGGUGCGAUCCUGGAACAGGACCAUGGCUGGGCAGCGGAUCUCGGACUCAAAAUGGAUAUGGUGUGACCUUGGAGAAUGUUGUUCGCUCGGAUCAGGAAGGCAGUAAACUGAUGUCAGCCUGACCUAAACCCAUUUUUGCUAUCGGAAUAUGGCUCCCUGGGCUGGCCUAGGCUGGCCAGCUAUUCUCCCCUGGUUGUUAUGUCUAAAGAAGGUUCUGUUCUGCUGCCCCCUCCCUCCCUGAGAGCAUCUGUGGGCCCUGAACUGAUAAGCUGGUGGUGGACUCCAACAUCAUACUCAGACAAUCACAGACAAUUGCGUGCUUCAGUUAGGGUUCAUGGUCUGAUACACACAUAACUCACGAGACCCAUAUGUACGUCACACCUCCUCCUCAUACCCAGCUUGUUUUGUCUAUAUGUGCUUAGGUGCCGAGGUUUUUUUCUUCAUCUCAAACUCUGUCCUGCAAAGAGCAGAGUGUGAGACAGGCUGUUUUUUUCCCUCUCCUUACCUGAUGUUUUUCUUAUUUUUCCUAUUUCCUCUGCAAGGCGGCGCCUGUCGGGUUGCGAGGUCUCAGCCAACUAUCCCCCCCUCCCAUAUCCCACCUCCCUCUCGUGUUGUUGUGUAAUGGAUGGUUGUACUGGAACUGCAAUUUUGUUGUCUUUCUGACAAUGACAAUAAAAUUCUUCUGAUUCUGA